GCGCCCGUAGCUCAGCAGGAUAGAGCGUCGGUUUCCUAAACCGCAGGUCGGAGGUUCGAAUCCUCUUGGGCGCACCA
rnacentral:tRNA from 3 species